UAGAUAUUUUAAAAGGACUUUAACAUACAAACAUAAGUAACACUGUAUAUGAGCAUUAAAUAAGUAAACCUAAAAAUAUAAAUUCUGUUAUUAAACUGUAUUGUUUUGUAUAUUCUAUAUAUUAUUUAUUUUUCUUUUCUGCAUUUCACCUUUGCUAUAGUUUACUUCUAAUAAACCUGACAUUGUAUAAUAAAUAUUGUUGACAGAUUGUUUAUGUUCCUUCCUAGAAUCUUCCAUUCUAAUGGCCGUGCACCAGAGUUGGAGCGAAUCUCCUGUCGAAAAACAUCUCUAGACAUUGUGACUACCAUAUGACUAAGACUGAAAAUCAUCAAUAAAACACAAGUGGAUUGAUAGCUCCAACACCAAUUAAGCAGACCUGAGCAGCUGAUCAAGGAUCACUAGAAACUCUGCAGAAUGUUGGUCCUCAAUGCCCGGGACUGGAAACCAGAGUUGUAA